UGGAGCAUGUGGUUUAAUUCGAAGAUACACGAAGAACCUUACCUGGCCUUGACAUGGUAGGAACCUUAAGAGAUUAGGGGGUGCUAGCUUGCUAGAACCUACCACACAGGUGCUGCACGGCUGUCGUCAGCUCGUGUCGUGAGAUGUUGGGUUAAGUCCCGCAACGAGCGCAACCCUCGUCCUUAGUUGCUAACAGUUCGGCUGAGCACUCUAGGGAGACUGCCUUCGCAAGGAGGAGGAAGGUGAGGACGACGUCAAGUCAUCAUGGCCCUUACGGCCAGGGCUACACACGUGCUACAAUGGGGCGUACAGAGAGCUGCGAUACCGCGAGGUGGAGCCAAUCUCUUAAAGCGUCUCUCAGUUCGGAUUGUUCUCUGCAACUCGAGAACAUGAAGCUGGAAUCACUAGUAAUCGCAGAUCAGCUAUGCUGCGGUGAAUACGUUCCCGGGUCUU
rnacentral:rRNA from 1 species